rnacentral:lncRNA from 1 species
UGACCAUCUGCAAGCUGUGUUCUAGUCCCCCACUAAUGACUACAGUGGCCACCGUCAUGUCCUAAUACUGCCAGCCUGUUUUCCCACCUGUGAAGGAGAGACUUCCCACAGCUGCUCCUGGAAUGAAGGGAAGAAGCCGCACCGUCCAUUAACUCCCCAGGGAGCACAGCCAAAGAACCAGAACAGUUUCUGCUGACCGCGCCAGUCCAAGCACUGAGGACAGGGGACACAGAGCCUGCCGUACAUCCCUGGCACCCUGCAGACCAGGAUGGCAAUGGAAUCUCAGGCUGCCUGCCACGCCCUCAUUGCCCUGCUCUGAGCCCACAUCUUGCACGUGGCUGCAGCAAGCUCAGUCUGCAAGCCAGCUCUUCCUCACUGUCCCCGUUGCUCUGGCCCCUGGGAUUACCAACAGGUGACAACCUUUCCUCUGUACCUCAUCGGGACACCUCCAGACCACUUGGUCAGUAGCAGCAGGUGGCCAUUCAGGACAUAUUCAUCAAAUGAACUGGAUAGAACCGGGGCCCGCUGUCCCAUAGGGUCACGGAGGGUUGAAGAACCUCAGCCCAAAGCCUAGAGUCUUUGCCUACCUUCCUGGGCCUCACUCCAGCUCCACUGCAGAGCCCAGCCUGUGACCACAGCGACCUGCGAAGGACUCAGGGUUCAGAUGCCAGGUGUCCUGCCCACGGCACAGUGGGGGCUGUGCAAGAAGGAAGGGCCCCUGGAUCCCACUGGCCUUCUCCAGGGACCUUCCACCACCACUGAUGACCACCCUGCUCCAGAAGUGUGUGGCCACGGCACGAGGCUCYACUUAGGAAACGGCAGUGAACCCGUAUCUGUGGGAAAGUCUCCGUGCCCCAGCCACAGGCCGCUCCAGGGAGUGUGCGGCUGAUUCAUCACAGCCACUGAGGGCGAUGGUGGGCACGGACAAGGGCUGGGAGCAUUGGUGACAGAGGGCUGGGAACUUGUGAAAGAGAGACUGGCUGCUGUAUGACCCAGCACAGGAAGAGGUCUGAACCACGGUGCCUCAUGCUGUCCACCCAGGAAGGUGGUGCCAGCCUCCUAGAGCCUGCCCUGGGACCUGAGCACCACACCAUGCUGGACUCKGGCUGGACGCCCGGGAAAGCCUUGACCAUGCCCUGUGAGGUGCCCCUCAGCCCCUCUGCUUUCAUCUAGGGGCUCCCUUGAGUCACAGGCAUUGGGUCACCCACAGUACACCAGGAAAUGGCAGAUGCAGACAGAGCUGGCCAGGGGUCAGGCAGCCCCCACUCCAUGUGACCCAGGCAGGCCGCAGCCCCGCUCUGGGCCGCCCUGUUCUGUCUGUACGAUGGGUGGCAGCCACCAGCCUGCACACCGCACAUGACCUUCUACAGAUCAAAUGAGGCAAUAAAUAGGAACCUGCUGAUGGUGCCA